rnacentral:rRNA from 1 species
AUUGAACGCUGGCGGCAGGCCUAACACAUGCAAGUCGAGCGGAUGAAGGGAGCUUGCUCCUGGAUUCAGCGGCGGACGGGUGAGUAAUGCCUAGGAAUCUGCCUGGUAGUGGGGGAUAACGUCCGGAAACGGGCGCUAAUACCGCCUACGUCCUGAGGGAGAAAGUGGGGGAUCUUCGGACCUCACGCUAUCAGAUGAGCCUAGGUCGGAUUAGCUAGUUGGUGGGGUAAAGGCCGACCAAGGCGACGAUCCGUAACUGGUCUGAGAGGAUGAUCAGUCACACUGGAACUGAGACACGGUCCAGACGCCUACGGGAGGCAGCAGUGGGGAAUAUUGGACAAUGGGCGAAAGCCUUAUCCAGCCAGGCCGCGUGUGUGAAGAAGGUCUUCGGAUUGUAAAGCACUUUAAGUUGGGAGGAAGGGCAGUAAGUUAAUACCUUGCUGUUUUGACGUUACCAACAGAAUAAGCACCGGCUAACUUCGUG